AAAAAGAAUUGAGAACUCAAACAAGAAACACGAAGAAAAAAAACUAAGUUUUGAAUUCAAAAGUAGUCAGUUCCAAAGUUCAUGUUUUUUUCAGUAUCUAAAAGAAAAAAAUGCCAAGGAUUCUUAUAAGAAAAGUUUGAAAGCCUAAAAACUAUGAUGUUUGUGUCUGUUUGCAAUUGAUUUAUAUUCAAACACCUUCCGGAUCUUACACGCUAUAACUUGUUAUCUCUUCAUUCGAGUUUUGGUGUCCAUUAGCUUUGAAACUUAAGCAUUUUCAAUCAGAAACGUACAAUAAAACAUGAAGAAUAGGCUUUGCAUGGACAAGAGCGUUGAAGCAGAAAAGGACCAUGGAUAUACUAAAUCGACCUUCAAGUUAACCACAAUGAACCUAACAAGGUUUUGAUCAUAUCCAUAUUUAAGAUUGGUCAACAAAAACCCUUACCGACAUCAAAAAGACAGAUGUCCCAAUAGGCAAUGCCUCUAUCAAGGAGGAGUUUCCGGCUGCUUAGCAGAAGAUCAAACCUCAGGGUUACAAUAAGCUUUUAAAGCAAACUAAGUAAAACGUUAUGUCAAUAUGGUUGAUAUGGUAAUCUAUCAUGUAUGCUGCUGUGUGUGUAUGAUAGUCGUCUUCUGUAUAGGUUUGUUAGACAAACCGAAGAUUUGUUUGCAUGUCUGGAGUGGUCAGACAUGUUUGUCUUUUACAAGUCGCUCUAAGGGCAGACGAUCAUCUCUACUGAAGAAACUACUAUUGUGGAUUUAGUAACAGUAUCCUACAGUCUUCUUUUCUAACUAAUACUCUUGUUGUUAUGUUA